GAUGAACGCUAGCGACAGGCUUAACACAUGCAAGUCGAGGGGCAGCGGGGGUAGCAAUACCCCGCCGGCGACCGGCGCACGGGUGAGUAACGCGUAUGCAACUUACCUAUCAGAGGGGGAUAACCCGGCGAAAGUCGGACUAAUACCGCAUGAAGCAGGGAUCCCGCAUGGGAAUAUUUGCUAAAGAUUCAUCGCUGAUAGAUAGGCAUGCGUUCCAUUAGGCAGUUGGCGGGGUAACGGCCCACCAAACCGACGAUGGAUAGGGGUUCUGAGAGGAAGGUCCCCCACAUUGGUACUGAGACACGGACCAAACUCCUACGGGAGGCAGCAGUGAGGAAUAUUGGUCAAUGGCCGAGAGGCUGAACCAGCCAAGUCGCGUGAGGGAUGAAGGUUCUAUGGAUCGUAAACCUCUUUUAUAAGGGAAUAAAGUGCGGGACGUGUCCCGUUUUGUAUGUACCUUAUGAAUAAGGAUCGGCUAACUCCGUGCCAGCAGCCGCGGUAAUACGGAGGAUCCGAGCGUUAUCCGGAUUUAUUGGGUUUAAAGGGUGCGUAGGCGGCCUUUUAAGUCAGCGGUGAAAGUCUGUGGCUCAACCAUAGAAUUGCCGUUGAAACUGGGGGGCUUGAGUAUGUUUGAGGCAGGCGGAAUGCGUGGUGUAGCGGUGAAAUGCAUAGAUAUCACGCAGAACCCCGAUUGCGAAGGCAGCCUGCCAAGCCAUGACUGACGCUGAUGCACGAAAGCGUGGGGAUCAAACAGGAUUAGAUACCCUGGUAGUCCACGCAGUAAACGAUGAUCACUAGCUGUUUGCGAUACACUGUAAGCGGCACAGCGAAAGCGUUAAGUGAUCCACCUGGGGAGUACGCCGGCAACGGUGAAACUCAAAGGAAUUGACGGGGGCCCGCACAAGCGGAGGAACAUGUGGUUUAAUUCGAUGAUACGCGAGGAACCUUACCCGGGUUUGAACGCAUUCGGACCGAGGUGGAAACACCUUUUCUAGCAAUAGCCGUUUGCGAGGUGCUGCAUGGUUGUCGUCAGCUCGUGCCGUGAGGUGUCGGCUUAAGUGCCAUAACGAGCGCAACCCUUGCCACUAGUUACUAACAGGUAAAGCUGAGGACUCUGGUGGGACUGCCAGCGUAAGCUGCGAGGAAGGCGGGGAUGACGUCAAAUCAGCACGGCCCUUACAUCCGGGGCGACACACGUGUUACAAUGGCGUGGACAAAGGGAAGCCACCUGGCGACAGGGAGCGAAUCCCCAAACCACGUCUCAGUUCGGAUCGGAGUCUGCAACCCGACUCCGUGAAGCUGGAUUCGCUAGUAAUCGCGCAUCAGCCAUGGCGCGGUGAAUACGUUCCCGGGCC
rnacentral:rRNA from 1 species